rnacentral:lncRNA from 1 species
AUCCCAUCAGAACUCCGAAGUUAAGCGUGCUUGGGCGAGAGUAGUACUAGGAUGGGUGACCUCCUGGGAAGUCCUUGUGUUGCAUUCUUUUCUUUUGGUUGCAACUGUGCGUACAACGGACGUAACAUUGUCAUACGGAGUCCGACCGAGACGUUCUUGUACUUAAAACGACCGGAACGGCAUUUUGAUCCGAAAAACACCUAAGUCAGGACCCAUUGGGUUUCGUGCCGAUAUUCCAGGCGCGCGCACACGCGGCGGUUGCCAACCCAAGAAAGGUCCUAGAAAUCCCCUCGGUGCCUUCGAGGGAGCGCCCAUAAGGAGAAGCCACGCGCACAACAUGUCGAAUGCGAUCAUACCAGCACUAAAGCACCGGAUCCCAUCAGAACUCCGAAGUUAAGCGUGCUUGGGUGAGAGUAGUACUAGGAUGGGUGACCUCCUGGGAAGUCCUCGUGUUGCAUUCUUUUCUUUUGGUUGCAACUGUGCGUACAACGGACGUAACAUUGUCAUACGGAGUCCGACCGAGACGUUCUUGUACUUAAAACGACCGGAACGGCAUUUUGAUCCGAAAAACACAUAAGUCAGGACCCAUUGGGUUUCGUGCCGAUAUUCCAGGCGCGCGCACACGCGGCGGUUGCCAACCCAAGAAAGGUCGUUCGGGUCCCCGAAAUGCCUUCGGCGCCUUCGAGGGAGCGCCGAUAAGGACAAGCCGCGCGCACAACAUGUCGGAUGCGAUCAUACCAGCACUAAAGCACCGGAUCCCAUCAGAACUUCGAAGUUAAGCGUGCUUGGGCGAGAGUAGUACUAGGAUGCGUGACCUCCUGGGAAGUCCUCGUGUUGCAUCCUUUUUUUUUGGUUGCAACUGUCCUAACUUUAUGAUACGAAGUCCGACCGGGACGUUCUUGUACUUAAAACGACCGGAACGGCAUUUUGAUCCGAAAAACACAUAAGUCAGGACCCACUUGGUUUCGUGCCGAUAUUCCAGGCGCGCGCACACGCGGCGGUUGCCAACCCAAGAAAGGUUGUUCGGAUCCCCGAAAUGCCCUCGGCGCCUUCGAGGGAUUGCCAAUAAGGACAAGCCGCGCGCACAACAUGUCGGAUGCAAUCAUACCAGCACUAAAGCACCGGAUCCCAUCAGAACUCCGAAGUUAAGCGUGCUUGGGCGAGAGUAGUACUAGGAUGGGUCCUCGUGUUGCAUUCUUUUUUUUUGGUUGCAACUGUGCGUACAACGAACGUAACUUUGUCAUACGGAGUCCGACCGGGACGUUCUUGUACUUAAAACGACCGGAACGGCAUUUUGAUCCGAAAAACACAUAAGUCAGGACCCACUGGGUUUCGUGCCGAUAUUCCAGGCGCGUGCACACGCGGCGGUUGCCAACCCAAAAAAGGUCGUUCGGGUCCCCGAAAUGCCCUCGGCGCCUUCGAGGGAGCGCCGAUAAGGACAAGCCGCGCGCACAACAUGUCGGAUGCGAUCAUACCAGCACUAAAGCACCGGAUCCCAUCAGAACUCCGAAGUUAAGCGUGCUUAGGCGAGAGUAGUACUAGGAUGGGUCCUCGUGUUGCAUUCUUUUUUUUUGGUUGCAACUGUGCGUACAACGAACGUAACUUUGUCAUACGGAGUCCGACCGGGACGUUCUUGUACUUAAAACGACCGGAACGGCAUUUUGAUCCGAAAAACACAUAAGUCAGGACCCACUGGGUUUCGUGCCGAUAUUCCAGGCGCGUGCACACGCGGCGGUUGCCAACCCAAAAAAGGUCGUUCGGGUCCCCGAAAUGCCCUCGGCGCCUUCGAGGGAGCGCCGAUAAGGACAAGCCGCGCGCACAACAUGUCGGAUGCGAUCAUACCAGCACUAAAGCAGCGGAUCCCAUCAGAACUCCGAAGUUAAGCGUGCUUGGGCGAGAGUAGUACUAGGAUGGGUGACCUCUUGGGAAGUCCUCGUGUUGCAUUCCUUUUUUUUUUGUUGCAGCUGUUCUAACUUUGUCAUACGGAGUCCGACCGGGACGUUCUUGUACUUAAAACGACCGGAACGGCAUUUUGAUCCGAAAAACACGUAAGUCAGGACCCACUGGGUUUCGUGCCGAUAUUCCAGGCGCGCGCACACGCGGCGGUUGCCAACCCAAAAAAGGUCGUUCGGGUCCCCGAAAUGCCCUCGGCGCCUUCGAGGAGCGCCGAUAAGGACAAGCCGCGCGCACAACAUGUCGGAUGCGAUCAUACCAGCACUAAAGCACCGGAUCCCAUCAGAACUCCGAAGUUAAGCGUGCUUGGGCGAGAGUAGUACUAGGAUUGGUGACCUCCUGGGAAGUCCUCGUGUUGCAUUCCUUUUUUUUUUGUUGCAGCUGUUCUAACUUUGUCAUACGGAGUCCGACCGGGACGUUCUUGUACUUAAAACGACCGGAACGGCAUUUUGAUCCGAAAAACACGUAAGUCAGGACCCACUGGGUUUCGUGCCGAUAUUCCAGGCGCGCGCACACGCGGCGGUUGCCAACCCAAAAAAGGUCGUUCGGGUCCCCGAAAUGCCCUCGGCGCCUUCGAGGAGCGCCGAUAAGGACAAGCCGCGCGCACAACAUGUCGGA